rnacentral:rRNA from 1 species
UACGUAGGUCGCAAGCGUUGUCCGGAUUUACUGGGCGUAAAGAGCGCGCAGGCGGCUGGUCAAGUCCGAUGUGAAAUCUCCCGGCUCAACUGGGAAACUGCAUCGGAAACUGAUCGGCUUGAAGAUGGGAGAGGGUAGUGGAAUUCCCGGUGUAGUGGUGAAAUGCGUAGAUAUCGGGAGGAACACCAGUGGCGAAGGCGGCACGCUGGACCCUCUCUGACGCUGAGGCGCGAAAGCCAGGGGAGCGAACGGG